rnacentral:rRNA from 1 species
UACGGAGGGUGCAAACGUUGCUCGGAAUCAUUGGGCGUAAAGCGCGCGUAGGCGGUCCAGCAAGUCGGGUGUGAAAGCCCUCGGCUUAACCGAGGAAGUGCAUUCGAAACUACUGGGCUUGAGUACUGAAGAGGAUCGCGGAAUUCCCGGUGUAGAGGUGAAAUUCGUAGAUAUCGGGAGGAACACCUGUGGCGAAAGCGGCGCACUGGACCACUACUGACGCUGAGGCGCGAAAGCUAGGGGAGCAAACAGG